CUGUUGUUUCAAAAGGAAGCAAUGUGGAUCGAAGCACAUUGCACUCUGCUUGGGGGACUGGCUUGCAGCAGAAGAGCUUUCUCUGGGUUGGUGUGACAGGACAUCUGAGCCCAGACAGGAUGGAUCCAUCCAUGACCCAGUCCAACCUUCAGCUUCUCCCAAGGUGCCUGCAAGGAGGCCACACAAGUCCUGUACAGGAGGGUGCUGCAGAACCCUCCAGCUGCAGUCCUGAGCUGGUGGUGUUGCUCCUUGCUGUGGAUUUGUCCCAUCUGACGUCCUGGAGAAGAAGGUGAGGAAGUCACCAGAACAAUUUUUAGCAUUUAGAGUCAACCACUGUGUAAAAUGAAAGCCCAGCAGCUCAACUGUUCCAGUGCCAUGGAGGGAGCUUUGAGAAGAAUUGGAUACUGCAGUACACUCAUCCCACUACUGUAAGUCUCUUCUGCUGUACCAGGUACACACAGUUCUGUCCUCUCUAGGGCUGACCUUUGCUUUCUCUUAUAGCUGAUAGGAUCAAGGAGUACAGGGCAAGAGCAUCCCAUUUAUCCUGUGCCAGUACAU
rnacentral:lncRNA from 13 species